AGGACGAACGCUGGCGGCGUGCUUAACACAUGCAAGUCGAGCGAACCUUCGGGUUAGCGGCGAACGGGUGAGUAACACGUGGGCAACCUGCCCCAAGCUCUGGGAUAACCUCCGGAAACGGGGACUAAUACCGGAUAUGACUCUUGAAGACAUCUUCUUGAGUGGAAAGUUUUUCGGCUUGGGAUGGGCCCGCGGCCUAUCAGCUUGUUGGUGGGGUAACGGCCUACCAAGGCGACGACGGGUAGCCGGCCUGAGAGGGCGACCGGCCACACUGGGACUGAGACACGGCCCAGACUCCUACGGGAGGCAGCAGUGGGGAAUAUUGCGCAAUGGGCGAAAGCCUGACGCAGCGACGCCGCGUGAGGGAUGAAGGCCUUCGGGUUGUAAACCUCUUUCAGCAGGGACGAAGCGAAAGUGACGGUACCUGCAGAAGAAGCACCGGCCAACUACGCGCCAGCAGCCGC
rnacentral:rRNA from 1 species